UCCCUGGUGGUCCAGUAGUUAAGACUCUGCACUUCCGAUGCAGGGGGCAUGGGUUCGAUCCCUGGCCAGGGAA
rnacentral:tRNA from 1 species